rnacentral:rRNA from 1 species
GUCAGGAGAACGCUAGCGGCAGGCUUAACACAUGCAAGUCGAGGGGUAUAGUUCUUCGGAAUUAGAGACCGGCGCACGGGUGCGUAACGCGUAUGCAAUCUGCCUUUCACAGAGGGAUAGCCCAGAGAAAUUUGGAUUAAUACCUCAUAGUAUUACAGAAGGGCAUCAUCCAGUAAUUAAAGUCACAACGGUGAAAGAUGAGCAUGCGUCCCAUUAGUUAGUUGGUAAGGUAACGGCUUACCAAGACUUCGAUGGGUAGGGGUCCUGAGAGGGAGAUCCCCCACACUGGUACUGAGACACGGACCAGACUCCUACGGGAGGCAGCAGUGAGGAAUAUUGGUCAAUGGGCGCAAGCCUGAACCAGCCAUGCCGCGUGCAGGAUGACGGUCCUAUGGAUUGUAAACUGCUUUUGUACGAGAAGAAACACUCCGACGUGUCGGAGCUUGACGGUAUCGUAAGAAUAAGGAUCGGCUAACUCCGUGCCAGCAGCCGCGGUAAUACGGAGGAUCCAAGCGUUAUCCGGAAUCAUUGGGUUUAAAGGGUCCGUAGGCGGUCUUGUAAGUCAGUGGUGAAAGCCCAUCGCUCAACGAUGGAACGGCCAUUGAUACUGCAGGACUUGAAUUAUUGGGUAAGUAACUAGAAUAUGUAGUGUAGCGGUGAAAUGCUUAGAGAUUACAUGGAAUACCAAUUGCGAAGGCAGGUUACUACCAAAUUGAUUGACGCUGAUGGACGAAAGCGUGGGUAGCGAACAGGAUUAGAUACCCUGGUAGUCCACGCCGUAAACGAUGGAUACUAGCUGUUGGGCGCAAGUUCAGUGGCUAAGCGAAAGUGAUAAGUAUCCCACCUGGGGAGUACGUUCGCAAGAAUGAAACUCAAAGGAAUUGACGGGGGCCCGCACAAGCGGUGGAGCAUGUGGUUUAAUUCGAUGAUACGCGAGGAACCUUACCAAGGCUUAAAUGCAGACUGACCGAUUUGGAAACAGAUCUUUCGCAAGACAGUUUACAAGGUGCUGCAUGGUUGUCGUCAGCUCGUGCCGUGAGGUGUCAGGUUAAGUCCUAUAACGAGCGCAACCCCUGUUGUUAGUUGCCAGCGAGUCAUGUCGGGAACUCUAACAAGACUGCCAGUGCAAACUGUGAGGAAGGUGGGGAUGACGUCAAAUCAUCACGGCCCUUACGCCUUGGGCUACACACGUGCUACAAUGGCCGGUACAGAGAGCAGCCACCUCGCGAGAGGGAGCGAAUCUAUAAAGCCGGUCACAGUUCGGAUCGGAGUCUGCAACUCGACUCCGUGAAGCUGGAAUCGCUAGUAAUCGGAUAUCAGCCAUGAUCCGGUGAAUACGUUCCCGGGCCUUGUACACACCGCCCGUCAAGCCAUGGAAGCUGGGGGUGCCUGAAGUCGGUGACCGCAAGGAGCUGCCUAGGGUAAAACUGGUAACUAGGGCUAAUC